rnacentral:rRNA from 1 species
GACGAACGCUGGCGGCGUGCUUAACACAUGCAAGUCGAACGGAAAGGCCCUUCUUGUUUGUGGUGCUCGAAUGGCGAACGGGUGACUAACACGUUAUUAACCUCCCUUUGACUUUGGGAUAACUUCAGGAAACUGGUGCUAAUACCGGAUAGGAGCUCCUGCUGCAUGGUGGGGGUUGGAAUGUUUCGGCGGUUGGGGAUGGACUCGCGGCUUAUCAGCUUGUUGGUGGGGUAGUGGCUUACCAAGGCUUUGACGGGUAGCCGGCCUGAGAGGGUGACCGGCCACACUGGGACUGAGAUACGGCCCAGACUCCUACGGGAGGCAGCAGUGGGGAAUAUUGCACAAUGGGCGGAAGCCUGAUGCAGCAACGCCGCGUGAGGGAUGACGGCCUUCGGGUUGUAAACCGCUUUCGCCUGUGACGAAGCGUGAGUGACGGUAAUGGGUAAAGAAGCACCGGCUAACUACGUG